rnacentral:lncRNA from 1 species
CUUUGAAUUCUUUGUUUCAUCAUUGGCUAUCAGGCAUCGUAUUUAUCCUCGUGGAUACAUCCACACUGAAAUAUAUAGACACGUCCAUAGCUAAUAAAACUAGUGACUCUUUGGCGUAGAUAUGUCCACACUUAUACAUUCACGCUGAUACGUCCACACUGAAAUAUGUACACACUGCCUAUACAUCCACGCUGAUACGUCCACACAAAAAUAUGUAUACACAUCUUGGAUGCUGUUAAUGUCAGCAUGCGAGAAAUAAAAUACGAAACUCCAAAUAGAAAUCACUCCACCUAUCCCAAAUGGAAAUCUUGUUGCCUUGUCCAUACUCAUUAAUUGUUCCCUCUAACAAACUAUUAAUCUCCCACAACAAAAAAUCAUUACUAUGUAAUCACCCUAAUAUGGAAAGAGAGCAAAACCUAACCACCAUGGCUCCAACUGAAACUGACUCCAACGACCGAGAAUCUGAGAGAGAGAGAGAGAGAGAAGGAGAGAAAGAGAGAAGGAGAGAAGAUAUUAUGAAAUGAAUCUGAGAGAGAGAGAAGGAGAGAAAGAGAGAAGGAGAGAAGAUAUUAUGAAAUGGAUCUGAGAGAGAGAAAGAGAGAAAGAGAGAAAGAGAGAGAAGGAGAGAAGAAGAAAAGGAGAGAUAACUUGUUUUUUACAUCGGUGUGAUUGAG